rnacentral:rRNA from 1 species
UACGUAGGGACCAAGCGUUGUCCGGAAUUAUUGGGCGUAAAGAGCUCGUAGGCGGUCUGUCGCGUCCGUUGUGAAAACUCGAGGCUCAACCUCGGGCUUGCAGUGGAUACGGGCAGACUAGAGUGCGGUAGGGGAGACUGGAAUUCCUGGUGUAGCGGUGGAAUGCGCAGAUAUCAGGAGGAACACCGAUGGCGAAGGCAGGUCUCUGGGCCGCAACUGACGCUGAGGAGCGAAAGCGUGGGGAGCGAACGGGAUUAGAACCGUACGUCGAGUCC